CAGUCGCCGCGGUAAUGCGUAGGGUGCAAGCGUUAAUCGGAAUUACUGGGCGUAAAGCGUGCGCAGGCGGUUAUAUAAGUCAGAUGUGAAAUCCCCGGGCUCAACCUGGGAACUGCAUUUGAGACUGUAUGGCUAGAGUGUGUCAGAGGGGGGUAGAAUUCCACGUGUAGCAGUGAAAUGCGUAGAUAUGUGGAGGAAUACCGAUGGCGAAGGCAGCCCCCUGGGAUAACACUGACGCUCAUGCACGAAAGCGUGGGGAGCAAACAGGAUUAGAUACCCCAGUAGUCCCUGUCUCUUAUAC
rnacentral:rRNA from 1 species